rnacentral:lncRNA from 1 species
AUUCCGCAGAGUCCCAGCACAGAGCAGAGUAGAACAGAGUAGGAUUGGAGCUGAGAGAUAGUAAGUAAAUAGGCAGCAGAAAUAUGUCAAGCAACAAUACCCCAUCUGGAAUAAAAGCACCAUGAAUGCAGGAAUUUUGCCAACUUCUGGCACAGAGAUGGCUUUCAAAAUCUAUUUGGUGAAUGAAUGAAUGAAUUGCAUUUUCUUCCUAAAUUUCACAAUUGAGCGGUCCUAAUCUGCAUAUCCAAGAGCAAUGUAUGUGAACCUACGUUUCCACAGCCUCACCCACAGAAUGUGUGCUCAAACAUUUGGAUUUUUGCCCAUCUACUAGGUCAGCAUUUUACCUAUGGAUGGCAUUUUCUAUUUUCGGUGACGGACUAUGAGCCAGGAUAAACACAUUACUCUCUUCUUUAACAAAAAGAGCAUGGUUAACUCCAAAGACUUCUCUAGACCAGCCUGGAUGGUACCUAAACUUUAAUCAACCAAUGCUCAAGUAAAAGAGCAGUAUCCAGCCCCAGCACACCUAACUGUUUUGCAUAACAUAGUGCUCCUGACUGGAGAGCCCAGGCUGAGAUGGUGUUAAAUGCUUUUACCACGUGGGCUCCUGGCACCAAAUGAGCAAGAUCUCACCCCACAGGCCUUGGAAACCUGAGGCAGUAUUCUUCUGGGAUGUUUCCAACUAGGCUUCCCAUGAGGAUGUUAGAGCCAGCCUGGCUGGUGAAUUUUACUUCUCUCACCUCUCAGAGGUAAGAGGUCUGAGAGGCUCAGGCCCUUCCAGCUUUUGAGGAUUCCAGCAUAGUAGAAACAUAAAAAGGUCCAAAGGGAAUUACAAAAAUAAUCUAUUUUCAGUUCUUAUACUUAACAAGUCAAUUCUUAUUAAAAAAAUAAAUCAAUCAAACUUUUGUUUGAUAUAAUUAUAGAUUCCAAGGAAGUUGUAAAGAUAGUACAGGAGGUCCCUGUGCAUCUUUCACCCAGUUUCCUCCAGUUUUAUGCCACUAGAGUACAAUAUCCAAACCAGGACAUUGACAUUGGAGCCAUAUGCAUGUAUAUUUCCAUGUCAUUUUAUCUCAUGUGUAUGCUCAUGUACCCAUCACUUCAAUCAGGUUAGAGACUAGACCAUCCCUCAUGCUGCCCUCUGAACUACCAACCCUAACCCGUGGAGGUCAUUAAUCUGUUCUUUAUCACUACAAUUUGGUCAUUUUGAGAAUGAAUAAAAUCACACAGUAAUGCAAGCCUUUUGAGACUAGCAUUUUUUCACUCAGCAUAACAUACUUAAGAUCCAUCAAUAAUUCUUCCAUUUUAUUGCCGAGCGGUAUUCUACAGUAUAGAUAUACUAAAGUUUAACUCUUCAUCUAAGGUAGGACAUUUUGGUUGUUUCCAGUUUUGGCUAUUACAAAUAAAGCUUCUAUGAGUAUUCACCUACA